rnacentral:tRNA from 1 species
GAAAAAUAUGCCCGGCCACGGUGGGAUUCGAACCUACGACCUUUGGAAUACUAGCCCAAUGCUCUUCCAACUGAGCUACGCGGUCAGGACGGUUCGAGUAAGUGAUAUUUCGGAACAGUAUCUAGUUCCUUCAAUACCAAUGUGUUCUAGUAAUAUGGAUUUUUUUUCUGUGUUGGUGUUGUGUACUCAGGUGAAUAAUAUGUUUGCAAUGUUACUCUGAGUGCAUAUCCACACCGGGCGAGCUUGAAAAUAUGCCCGGCCACAUUGGGAUUCGAACCUACGACCUUUGGAAUACUAGCCCAAUGCUCUUCCAACUGAGCUACGCGGUCAGGACGGUUCGAGUAAGUGAUAUUUCGGAACAGUAUCUAGUUCCUUCAAUACCAAUGUGUUCUAGUAAUAUGAAUUUUUCUGUGCUGGUGUUGUGUACUCAGGUGAAUAAUAUGUUUGCGAUGUUACUCUGAGUGCAUAUCCACACCGGGCGAGCUUGAAAAAUAUGCCCGGCCAUGGUGGGAUUCGAACCUACGACCUUUGGAAUACUAGCCCAAUGCUCUUCCAAC